UCCGAUGUGGUCUAGUGGCUAGGAUUUGUCGCUCUCAUGAAGUGCCGACAAGGCCGGGGUUCAAUUCCCCGCAUCGGAA
rnacentral:tRNA from 1 species